GGUGACAACGUAUAGAAAGUCAGAUCUACAACUUGAUGGGUGACAGUUCCUUUCAACCAAAAGAUAAUUUAAAAAUGGCAGAACUCUUUAUGGAAUGUGAAGAGGAGGAGCUAGAACCAUGGCAGAAGAAAGUGAAAGAAGUUGAAGAGGAUGAUGAUGAUGAGCCCAUCUUCGUAGCAGAGAUAGCAAGUUCAAAACCAGCUAUUUCAAAUAUUUUGAACAGAGUUAACCCGAGCUCUCAUUCAAGAGGAAUAAAGAAUGGUAUACUUAAUCGAGGUUUUACUGCUUCAUUCAAGCCUACAAGUCAACGCUGCCCGAAUUCAGCAUCAAAUCCUGUGGCUGCCUUGCCAGUAAAUUUUCAUCCUGAAUCUAGAUCUUCUGAUAGCUCUGUUAUUG
rnacentral:lncRNA from 1 species